AUUGAACGCUGGCGGCAUGCCUUACACAUGCAAGUCGAACGGUAACAGGUCUUCGGAUGCUGACGAGUGGCGAACGGGUGAGUAAUACAUCGGAACGUGCCCGAUCGUGGGGGAUAACGGAGCGAAAGCUUUGCUAAUACCGCAUACGAUCUACGGAUGAAAGCAGGGGACCGCAAGGCCUUGCGCGGACGGAGCGGCCGAUGGCAGAUUAGGUAGUUGGUGGGAUAAAAGCUUACCAAGCCGACGACCUGUAGCUGGUCUGAGAGGACGACCAGCCACACUGGGACUGAGACACGGCCCAGACUCCUACGGGAGGCAGCAGUGGGGAAUUUUGGACAAUGGGCGAAAGCCUGAUCCAGCCAUGCCGCGUGCAGGAUGAAGGCCUUCGGGUUGUAAACUGCUUUUGUACGGAACGAAAAGACUCUUUCUAAUAAAGAGGGUCCAUGACGGUACCGUAAGAAUAAGCACCGGCUAACUACGUG
rnacentral:rRNA from 1 species